AUCUCUACUCUCCCUGGCUCCAGGAGAUAAAAAGAAGAACGUGGGUCUCCACACAGAAAUGACCUCCAUGAGGUCUGACACUCUCCAGCACUGCAGCAGAGGAGAGAGCCUGAGGGGGAAUCCCAGAGCGGCAGAAAUAGCAGUGCUUUAUCUGAAGUCCACAAAACCCAACAAUGCAUUCUUGGAAGACAAGAGCCAUGCUCGGGACAGGGAAGCUGAAGUCAAAGCUCAUGGGGCGGCCCUCCCUCCAUCAGGUGCUGUGGUGCCGAGACAACUUCUUAGUCUCUAUGGACCUCAGGUUCCUCAUCAGUGAGAUCCGGAGCUGAGUCCACAGCCUGAGAAGCCAGAACUGAAGGUGC